rnacentral:lncRNA from 1 species
UGUUUACAAUGAUUUUCCUCUGCCUCUGACAGAUGAUACCACAUCGCAGGAGGGAAAUGAGGAGGAGAGAGGCUGCCCGAGAGCAGCAUAUGAUAAACUCCCAGUACUUGCAGGAGGAGGAGGAGGACAUGGAUGUCACUGCUCCUGCUGCUGCUGCUGCUGCUGCUCCUGCUGCUGCUUUUAAGGCAGACCCAUCUGAGGAGGAAAAUAUGUGUGUCCCGGGUCUGAUGGUGGGCUUGCGACAACUGAAGUCCCCCUGGAUGGUUGGCAGCGGACGGUCAAAUGUCAUGAGGAAGAUUAAAUUGCCUCCUGCCAUGGAAGAAUAUUUGGAAGGCUUCGGCCGGGUGCACGAGGGCACCAAUCCUACCCGCAAAAUGAUCGAGAAUGCAAGGUCAAAGGUCAGCCGGGUGAAAGCCUUCCUUAUGUUCAUGGGGAACAAACACCCGAGGUUGUCAGACUGGUUGUUUGUAAACAACGCAAGAAAACUCAAAAUGUGGUGUGAUACUAUGUUGAAAACUAUGAAGGUGACCACGGUGGAGUUCUACAUAAAGAACAACAUUCAGUUUCUGAAAUUCAUGCAGGAGACUCCACCGCGGUCAUCCAGACUGACUAAAGAAAACAUGGUCGGUGUCGCCAGGGACCUGAAGAUGGCCCUGAAGAGCCUCAAGA